UGGUCGGUUUAUAUGUAUAGCAAAAGUUUAUUCGUUUGCCGAAAACAGCGGAGUACCUUAUUAUAUGUAUAUAGAAAAGAUAAACAUUUUAAAAAGAAUCUAAAAACUCGCGAUAAAGAGAAACUCUGUAUAGAGGAUUUGAAUAUUUUGCAAGUAUUGGUCUUGUGUAUUCGUAUAUGUUAAAAAGUCAUUAUUUAUACAUUAGGAGGUACACUGCAUAUUAGUUUUUUUUUCAUAAAGUUUAUAUGACUAAAAGUAAAAUUUCAUGGGACGCUACAAAACUCGAAUACACGC